CGCUCAUCCAGAGGGGCAGAGGGACACGGCCCGUUGAAGCCCCGGCAACCCUCCAGUCGGUUCUCGCGAUGCGACACGCAUCGGGCGGGGCCCCGGCUAGGGAAGGUGCCAAUUCCGUCUCAUGGCGAAGUGCGCCAUGGGGAAGAUGAGGA
rnacentral:ncRNA from 1 species